rnacentral:rRNA from 1 species
GUGCCAGCCGCCGCGGUAAGACAGAGGGUGCAAACGUUGUUCGGAAUUACUGGGCGUAAAGCGCGUGUAGGCGGCCCGGCGAGUCGGAUGUGAAAGCCCUCGGCUCAACCGAGGAAGUGCAUUCGAAACUGCCGGGCUAGAGUCCUGGAGAGGAUAGUGGAAUUCUCGGUGUAGAGGUGAAAUUCGUAGAUAUCGAGAGGAACACCGGUGGCGAAGGCGGCUAUCUGGACGGUGACUGACGCUGAGACGCGAAAGCGUGGGGAGCAAACAGGAUUAGAUACCCCAGUAGUCC